AUUAACAAAACAGUUUAUUACAAACAACUAUCACGGUUUAUAAGCACCACAAACACAUUUUAAUAUUUUAAUAAUCACCGUUUCUCGGUUCUACUAACAUUUUGCCGAUUUGACAAACAAGUUUGUUGUUUGAAACUAAACUCGUUUAAACGUGUAAGGAAAAUUAACAGUGUAUGUUUUUACUCCAACCUCAACAUCAAGAUGGCCGAAGUGAAAAAAGUGGAAUUCUAAGGAUUUUUACUGAAUAGGUAAGUAUCUAGUUAAUUAGUUAUUCGAUUUAUAAUCAAACCUAAUAUUUUCCUUUUCUAGUAAUUGUUCGUUCCAUAUAACUAGGCUGGUGGACUUUUUUCCAGGUAUAAUCAGAUAACUUUCUCCAUGUCUCCAGCAGCUGAUGUUUCUAUUUGGUGUCCAGCGAAAAUGCCUGUCAAAUAAGUGUGGCCGGAACUCCCUGUGAUGCAUUUAUAUGAGUUGAAAAUGUGGAAAUAAAUGUAAUCAAAA